AUGUUUUUGCUGGAAGCAUCAACAUUUUUUGCUACCAUCGAUGCUUUGGUUUUGUUGGAUCCAAGCCCAAUUUUCAUUUUUGCUACAACUAUAAUAUUUUUUUUGCUGGAACCAUCAACAUUUUUUGUUGCCAUCGGUUUUUUGGUUUUGUUGGAACAACGCCAUUUUUUGCAAGUUUGCUACCACCAGCCUCUUGGUUUGCUGGAACGAGCUUCAUCUUUUGCUACCACCGUAUUUUUGCUGGGACAAUGUCCAUUUUUUCAAUUUUUGCUACCAGCGUUAUCUAGUUUUGCUGGAAGCAGCCUAUUUUUUUGCUACCACCGCUGUUUUUGGAUGCGAACCACGGCGUCCGCCAUUGAUUCUGGAGGUGGAUUGAGGGAGAGGGAUGAGGGGAUGGGCAGCACCGGCAAGGGGCGAGCGUCGGCGACGUACGUGCGCUGCACGAUGCGGAGGGGGUGCGGAGGCGCCGUCAUGUCUCCCUCCUUUUUUUAUUCAGUUUUCAAUCGCGAUGUGAAAAAGACGAUGGGAAACGAUGCCCGUCGACAGCUGUACGGGGUUCAAUCAAACGGCUAG
rnacentral:rRNA from 1 species